UUUUUUAACGAGAAACCUCUUCCGGGCCUUUCACAUGUCGGAAAUCCCGGAAAGAGGGGGGUCUCUUCGGAACGGAACCCCAGGGGUGGCAGGGCGUUGUUAUCUUCUGUUCUGGGAAUGUGGGGUUAGUUUCGCAACGGGAGCAACCCCCUUCCUUUUUUUUCAGCGGGUAAAGACGGGGAUUUAUGGGAGACUGCCGGGGCCAAACCGGAGGAAGGUGGGGAUGACGUCAAGUCAUCAUGCCCCUUAUGUUCAGGGCUUCCCCCUUGUUACAAUGGCCGGUACAAAGGGUUGCAAAGCCGGGAGGGGGAGCGAAUCCCAAAAAACCGGUUUCAAUUCGGAUUGGCGUUUGCAACUUGGCUCCCUGAAGUCGGAAUUGCGUUGUAAUCU
rnacentral:rRNA from 1 species